ACUUCCAAUACUCAAAAAUAAAGUGAAGUAUCAGCAGACAAAACAUCGUAAAGGUUGGUUCUCACUAGGGCGGUUUCGCCGCGGAAAACAGUAUUAUGACGUCAUCCCACGUGGUCAGAGACCGGUUUGAUGCGCGGUUUUUCGGCGGCGGUUCCAGUCGAAGCUUGCUUCGACUUCAACUGUCGCGGUCAGCUGACCGCUCUGCUUUUCAACCAAUAGCGACACUUCACCAAUUUAGGCCAGAUUUCAACAUAGCUGCAUGUUCGCUUAUUGAUAACGUGAAACUUAUUGAAAUAAUUCUACACAAAAUGUCAGAAAUCUGUACCUACAAAAACGUCCUUGAUGCCUACUGAAUUGUGGGACGUCUUUACAGCUUUCCCAUAAAGACCGGUUCACACUACAGCGAGUGCGCGAGACACGCGAAGAUCACCAUGGCAACGGUAGUGAUGUCAUCAGCG
rnacentral:lncRNA from 1 species